CCAGACUCCUACGGGAGGCAGCAGUGAGGAAUAUUGGUCAAUGGCCGGAAGGCUGAACCAGCCAAGCCGCGUGAGGGAGGAAGGCGCAGAGCGUCGCAGACCUCUUUUGCCGGGGGACAAAAGGCCGGACUCGUCCGGUCCUGAGGGUACCCGGAGAAAAAGCAUCGGCUAACUCCGUGCCAGCAGCCGCGGUAAUACGGAGGAUGCGAGCGUUAUCCGGAUUCAUUGGGUUUAAAGGGUGCGCAGGCGGGCCUUAAGGCCGGGGGUAAAUGCGGGGGGCCCACCCCCGCCGAGCCGUCGGAACUGGGGGCCUUGAGUGGGCGAGAAGAAGGCGGAAUGCGUGGUGUAGCGGUGAAAUGCAUAGAUAUCACGCAGAACUCCGAUUGCGAAGGCAGCAUACCGGCGCCCGACUGACGCUGAGGCACGAAAGCGUGGGUAUCGAACAGGAUUAGAUACCCGCGUA
rnacentral:rRNA from 1 species